AUUGAACGCUGGCGGCAGGCCUAACACAUGCAAGUCGAGCGGAUGAAGGGAGCUUGCUCCUGGAUUCAGCGGCGGACGGGUGAGUAAUGCCUAGGAAUCUGCCUGGUAGUGGGGGAUAACGUCCGGAAACGGGCGCUAAUACCGCAUACGUCCUGAGGGAGAAAGUGGGGGAUCUUCGGACCUCACGCUAUCAGAUGAGCCUAGGUCGGAUUAGCUAGUUGGUGGGGUAAAGGCCAACCAAGGCGACGAUCCGUAACUGGUCUGAGAGGAUGAUCAGUCACACUGGAACUGAGACACGGGCCAGACUCCUACGGGAGGCAGCAGUGGGGAAUAUUGGACAAUGGGCGAAAGCCUGAUCCAGCCAUGCCGCGUGUGUGAAGAAGGUCUUCGGAUUGUAAAGCACUUUAAGUUGGGAGGAAGGGCAGUAAGUUAAUACCUUGCUGUUUUGACGUUACCAACAGAAUAAGCACCGGCUAACUUCGUG
rnacentral:rRNA from 1 species